GACGAACGCUGGCGGCGUGGAUUAGGCAUGCAAGUCGAACGCGAAAGGUGGGCUUCGGUCUGCCGAGUAGAGUGGCGAACGGGUGAGUAACGCGUAGGUAAUCCAUCUUCAAGCGGGGGACAGCCCUGGGAAACCGGGAUUAAUACCGCAUGUGGUGUAUAAUUUGUGUUAUAUAUUAAAGGUGGCCUCUAUUUAUAAGCUACUGUUUGAAGUUGAGCCUGAGUCCUAUUAGUUAGUUGGUGAGGUAAUGGCUCACCAAGGCGAUGAUAGGUAGGCGGCCUUAACGGGUGGUCGCCCACACUGGGAUUGAGAUACGGCCCAGACUCCUACGGGAGGCAGCAGUCGAGAAUAGUCUACAAUGGGGUAUAACCCUGAUAGUGCGACGCCGCGUGAACGAUGAAGCAUUCGGUGCGUAAAGUUCUUUUCUAUGUGAGCAAUGUUUGGUAGGUGAAUAAUUUAACCAGAAGGGAUAUUAGCAUAGGAAUAAGCCACGGCUAACUCCGUGCCAGCACGG
rnacentral:rRNA from 1 species